CUCCAAAAUGACCUUAUCACAUGUCACUGAAGCUGUGUUUCUAAGUGCUUUGUUAAACUUUAGUUGAAUUGCUUUGGUUUUCUAAGCGCUUUGUUCAACUUUAGUUGAAGUUGAACUUACAGACACCUGAGUUGCUUUAUUUGAAGUUGAACUUACAGGCACCUGAGUUGCUUUAUGUCU